GGGCAACUACCACUCAGGGCCGGAAAGCUCUCCAAACUCGGUCAUUUAGAGGAAGUAAAAGUCGUAACAAGGUCUCCGUUGGUGAACCAGCGGAGGGAUCAUUACCGAGUUUACAACUCCCAAACCCCUGUGAACAUACCAAUUGUUGCCUCGGCGGAUCAGCCCGCUCCCGGUAAAACGGGACGGCCCGCCAGAGGACCCCUAAACUCUGUUUCUAUAUGUAACUUCUGAGUAAAACCAUAAAUAAAUCAAAACUUUCAACAACGGAUCUCUUGGUUCUGGCAUCGAUGAAGAACGCAGCAAAAUGCGAUAAGUAAUGUGAAUUGCAGAAUUCAGUGAAUCAUCGAAUCUUUGAACGCACAUUGCGCCCGCCAGUAUUCUGGCGGGCAUGCCUGUUCGAGCGUCAUUUCAACCCUCAAGCCCAGCUUGGUGUUGGGACUCGCGAGUUAAAUCGCGUUCCCCAAAUUGAUUGGCGGUCACGUCGAGCUUCCAUAGCGUAGUAGUAAAACCCUCGUUACUGGUAAUCGUCGCGGCCACGCCGUUAAACCCCAACUUCUGAAUGUUGACCUCGGAUCAGGUAGGAAUACCCGCUGAACUUAAGCAUAUCAAUAAGCGGAGGAAAAGAAACCAACAGGGAUUGCCCUAGUAACGGCGAGUGAAGCGGCAACAGCUCAAAUUUGAAAUCUGGCUCUCGGGCCCGAGUUGUAAUUUGUAGAGGAUACUUUUGAUGCGGUGCCUUCCGAGUUCCCUGGAACGGGACKCCAUAGAGGGUGAGAGCCCCGUCUGGUGGA
rnacentral:rRNA from 1 species